rfam:Colletotrichum higginsianum, IMI 349063, WGS project CACQ02000000 data, contig: cont1.4445
GCGCCGAUGGUUUAGUGGUAAAAUUCUCCGUUGCCAUCGAGCAACGUCGGGGAGCCGGGGGUUCGAUUCCCCCUCGGCGCA